GUAGGUGGCAAGCGUUGUCCGGAAUUAUUGGGCGUAAAGCGCGCGCAGGUGGUUCUUUAAGUCUGAUGUGAAAGCCCCCGGCUCAACCGGGAGGGUCGUUGGAAACUGGGGAACUUGAGUGCAGGAGAGGAAAGUGGAAUUCCACGUGUAGCGGUGAAAUGCGUAGAUAUGUGGAGGAACACCAGUGGCGAAGGCGACUUUCUGGCCCGUAACUGACACUGAGGCGCGAAAGCGUGGGGAGCAAACAGGAUUAGAUACCCUGGUAGUCCACGCCGUAAACGAUGAGUGCUAAGUGUUGGGGGGUUUCCGCCCCUCAGUGCUGCAGCUAACGCAUUAAGCACUCCGCCUGGGGAGUACGGUCGCAAGACUG
rnacentral:rRNA from 1 species